rnacentral:piRNA from 4 species
GUGGAGAGGAACAAUUCUGAGUCUUA